GAUGAACGCUGGCGGCGUGCUUAACACAUGCAAGUCGAACGAUGAAGCCCAGCUUGCUGGGUGGAUUAGUGGCGAACGGGUGAGUAACACGUGAGUAACCUGCCCUUAACUCUGGGAUAAGCCUGGGAAACUGGGUCUAAUACCGGAUAGGAGCGUCCACCGCAUGGUGGGUGUUGGAAAGAUUUAUCGGUUUUGGAUGGACUCGCGGCCUAUCAGCUUGUUGGUGGGGUAAUGGCUCACCAAGGCGACGACGGGUAUCCGGCCUGAGAGGGUGACCGGCCACACUGGGGCUGGGACACGGCCCAGACUCCUACGGGGGGCCGCAGUGGGGAGUAUUGCACAAUGGGCGCAAGCCUGAUGCAGCGACGCCGCGUGGGGGAUGACGGCCUUCGGGUUGUAAACCUCUUUCAGUAGGGAAGAAGCGAAAGUGACGGUACCUGCAGAAGAAGCACCGGCUAACUACGU
rnacentral:rRNA from 1 species